CAAGGGCACUGUCCCAUCAGCCUUAAAGAACCACUGAGUCGCAAUCCCACACAACAUGGAGUGGGUGUGGAGCUUCCUUUUCCUGCUCAUAGCUAUGCCAGGUGCCCAUACCCAGGUCAAGCUGGAACAGUCUGGGGCUGAGCUGAAACAGCCUGGACAGUCAGUGAAGAUCUCCUGCAAGGCCUCAGGGUACACAUUUACCGAAUAUGCAAUGAACUGGGUGAAGCAGCCAGCAGGAAAGGUUCUGCAGGAUAUGGGCUGGAUCAACACCGACACUGGAAACCCAACUUAUGCAGAGGACUUUAAAGGACGUUUUGUCUUCUCCAUGGAUGCCUCCAUCAGCACUGCCUACCUGCAGAUCAACAGCCUGAAGGCAGAGGACAUGGCUGUGUAUUACUGUGCGAGACACAGUGUGAAAACCACAUCCCGAGGCUGUCAGAAACCCUAG